CCCUUAGAUGUUCUGGGCCGCACGCGCGCUACACUGAUGCAUUCAACGAGUUUCUUCCUGGUCUGAGAGGAAUGGGUAACCUUUUGAAAGUGCAUCGUGAUAGGGAUAGACUAUUGCAAUUAUUGGUCUUCAACGAGGAAUUCCUAGUAGACGUAGUUCAUCAGACUGCAUCGAUUACGUCCCUGCCCUUUGUACACACCGCCCGUCGCUCCUACCGAUUGAAUGCUCAGGUGAGCCAUUCGGACUUUCAUCAUGCUGGUUUCCAGUUUUGAUGAAGGAAAGUCUUGCGAACCUUAUCAUUUAGAGGAAGGAGAAGUCGUAACA
rnacentral:rRNA from 1 species